ACAACUAUAAAUACACACUACAGUUACAGAGCUUUUUCCCAUAGAAGCCUAUACAGAAAAUUGUAAAAAAAAAAAGAAAAUGGUUGUGCAGAAAAUAAACAUAGAGGAAAGCAGUAAAAGAGAGUCAAGUAAUUUUAAAAUUAAAAACACUUUGCUUUCAAAGAAAGUAAAGAGUAUAUAAGAAUUAUUGCUUUGUUGUUGCUUUGUGCUUUUCCUUUUAACCACCUGGCCUUUUUUCCGAGUGUCAAAAAAUGGCCAGUAGUAUCACUUACCACACUGAUUUAGCCUAAGUACUAUUACUUGAAACACUCAAUUCUUAGCAGUAACAGAAUGAUCUUUUUAUAUUUCAUUAGGUUUGCAUCUGCAUCAAAAAUUAUUCCAGGUGCAGUGGUUAACACAUAUAAUCCCAGCACUUUGGAAGGCCAAGGCAGGAGGAUCACUUGAGGGCAAGAGAUACAGAUCAGCCCUGGCAAUACAGUGAGACUCCAACUUUCCAAAAAAA
rnacentral:lncRNA from 1 species